UACGGAGGGUGCAAGCGUUAAUCGGAAUUACUGGGCGUAAAGCGCAUGCAGGCGGUUUGUUAAGCGAGAUGUGAAAGCCCCGGGCUCAACCUGGGAACUGCAUUUCGAACUGGCAAACUAGAGUUCUUGAGAGGGUGGUAGAAUUUCAGGUGUAGCGGUGAAAUGCGUAGAGAUCUGAAGGAAUACCAGUGGCGAAGGCGGCCACCUGGCAAGUAACUGACGCUCAGAUGCGAAAGCGUGGGUAGCAAACGGG
rnacentral:rRNA from 1 species